AUCAUAUUUAAAUUUUUACAUGUAUAGAGAGAAAAAUAUGGCUAAAACUCUCAAGUUUGUAUAUGUUAUUGUUUUAUUUCUAUCCCUUUUCCUUGCUACAAAAAACAUUGAUGGGAGGGUUUCUUACAACUCCUUUUUUAGAGCAUUACCUGUUUGUCAAACUGCUGCUGAUUGUCCAGAAGUUACCAGAGGUCGCACAUAUAAGUGUAUCAACAACAAAUGUAGAUAUCCUAAAAUAUUGAAACCAAUUCAAUGAGUGUGAAGCCCAAGAGAGUAAACUUACUAAAAUCUAUGGUAAAAAAAAUCUAUCAAUUUACCUUUAUAUAGAAUAUUCCUUAGUUCAUCUUUAGUUAUUGUGCCGACACCAAAUAAUUGUAUUUUCUAUAUUUGUUUUUAUAAUUUCACAUACCUUGCAAUUAUGGUUUUUAA